AUACGUAGGGUGCGAGCGUUGUCCGGAAUUACUGGGCGUAAAGAGCUCGUAGGUGGUUUGUCGCGUCGUCUGUGAAAUUCCGGGGCUUAACUCCGGGCGUGCAGGCGAUACGGGCAUAACUUGAGUACUGUAGGGGAGACUGGAAUUCCUGGUGUAGCGGUGAAAUGCGCAGAUAUCAGGAGGAACACCGGUGGCGAAGGCGGGUCGCUGGGCAGUAACUGACGCUGAGGAGCGAAAGCAUGGGUAGCGAACAGGAUUAGAUACCCUGGUAGUCCAUGCUGUAAACGGUGGGCGCUAGGUGUAGGGGUCUUCCACGACUUCUGUGCCGUAGCUAACGCAUUAAGCGCCCCGCCUGGGGAGUACGGCCGCAAGGCUAAAACUCAAAUGAAUUGACGGGG
rnacentral:rRNA from 1 species